UCAUACGGCUGUGUGGCCAGGUCAUGUGACUCACACGACUGAGGCACACACCCGUGUCUCAGGUCGUGUGGACAUUCGAAGUAGGGACACAGAGCUAUAUCCCAGCCUGUGUCCGUGCCCAUAUAACUCACUGCCUUGGAUCACAUGACCAAGCCACACGCCCAUGUGCUAGGCCAUGUAACUGCCUGACUUGCAACCCUUUGAAACCUACAGGGGACACGCGGCCGUGUGUGACACACAGCGGAGACACACGCCUGU
rnacentral:lncRNA from 1 species